CAGCAGCCACGGUAAUACGGAGGGGGCUAGCGUUGUUCGGAUUUACUGGGCGUAAAGCGCACGUAGGCGGACUUUUAAGUCAGGGGUGAAAUCCCGGGGCUCAACCCCGGAACUGCCUUUGAUACUGGGAGUCUUGAGUUCGAGAGUGGUGAGUGGAAUUGCGAGUGUAGAGGUGAAAUUCGUAGAUAUUCGCAGGAACACCAGUGGCGAAGGCGGCUCACUGGCUCGAUACUGACGCUGAGGUGCGAAAGCGUGGGGAGCAAACAGGAUUAGAUACCCGCGUAGUCCCUGUCUCUUAUAC
rnacentral:rRNA from 1 species